AGUGAACGCUGGCGGUAGGCCUAACACAUGCAAGUCGAACGGCAGCACAGUAAGAGCUUGCUCUUACGGGUGGCGAGUGGCGGACGGGUGAGGAAUACAUCGGAAUCUACUUUUUCGUGGGGGAUAACGUAGGGAAACUUACGCUAAUACCGCAUACGACCUACGGGUGAAAGCAGGGGAUCUUCGGACCUUGCGCGAUUGAAUGAGCCGAUGUCGGAUUAGCUAGUUGGCGGGGUAAAGGCCCACCAAGGCGAGGAUCCGUAGCUGGUCUGAGAGGAUGAUCAGCCAAACUGGACCUGAGACACGGUCAAGACUCCUACGGGAGGCAGCGGUGGGGAAUAUUGGACAAUGGGCGCAAGCCUGAUCCAGCCAUACCGCGUGGGUGAAGAAGGCCUUCGGGUUGUAAAGCCCUUUUGUUGGGAAAGAAAAGCAGCAGGUUAAUACCCCGCUGUUCUGACGGUACCCAAAGAAUAAGCACCGGCUAACUUCGUG
rnacentral:rRNA from 1 species